UCCUCAAACACUUGCUGAAGAGACCAGUCAAUAGCAAAGAGUCAGUAGAUGCUGUGUGGAAAGUAACCUGCACAAUGGCCACCAUCAAGAUGCUCGAUGUCAGCAAGUGCUAGUGUCUGCUGUCCCCCACCAGAGCUCCCAGCCUGCUGUCUCGCUUGUCUUUUCCAAUGAGCUAACACAGAAGCGACUGAAACCGAACAAGAAGUUCCGACGAGUCACUCAAAGGCAGCCUCACCAUGCACCCCCAUGAUGUACCGUGUCACCACAAGUCCCAAGCAACAGGGCCAAGCCACCAUGGACUGACACACUUGAAACUGUGAGCCAAAAUCAACCCAAGCCCUUUCUAAGUUGAUUUAUUACCCCAGAUGCCUGUCUAUACAGCAGUGGGAAGCUGACUGACAGUGGAUACUGUUGUAAUCAUCUUUGUCAUUUGGGGACCAGGAGGAUGAAUA